GCCUCACUAAAUCACCCAAACACCCACAUCUUCACAUCACAUGAGGUGCGAGGGUUACCUUCACUCUGCCAGAGAUUCACAUCACAGAGAGAGAGUGUGAGUGAGAGAGAGAGAGAGAGGGAGGUUGUGAGGUUCCCAAGGUUAAUCCAAGUCUCUGCAAACAAUGAGUCUGUCCUUUCUCACUGUCUCUCUGAUCUCCAUCUUCUGGCCCUGCUGGGUGACGGCCGAGCUGAUCUAUCAGUGGCCUCCGAGGACGGUGGUGAGAGAGAGCGACUCUGUGCUAUUGGGUUGCCACCAGAAUGACAGCAGUAAACCUAUAAUGCUCUGGUACCAGCAGAGAGAUGGAGAGGGCCUGAGACUGAUCGGCUUUACCUACUAUCCAAACCCACCGACUAUGGAGAAGGACGAGCAGAGUAAUUUUGAGAUCAUAUCGCAAGAUCAGACAACAUCUCGGCUGAACAUCUCAAUGGUGAGAGCGCCGCAGGAGGGGAUGUAUUACUGCGCAGCCAGAGAUGAGCACAGUGAGAGAGAUUGACUGAAAGCUCACUCAUAAACCUCACUCCUCACACACCCUUCCUGCCACUCCACCUCCCUCCCCGCUUCACACUGGCACCUGUACUCUCCAACAGAAUGCAGCAAUGUCGACAGAGAGACAGAACGUGAGAGCGAGAAUGAGUAG